GCUGGGGUGGCAGAACGGCGAUUGCACUGGUCUCGAAAACCAGGCCCUUUGGGUAUCCAGGUUCAAAUCCUGGCUCCAGCG
rnacentral:tRNA from 1 species